CAGGCGUCCAAGUUCCAAAUGCAGAAGGGGAAGAAGAGGAUGUAGAAAAGCUCGUUGCCGAGCUCCGUGCCCAGGCUGAAGAGAUAGUAGAGGAAGCGACUACGGGUGGAGAACUCCUGGCUGCCGUCCUCCUCCGUGUAUUGAGAACAUUCACAACACCACCAAGAGCCUCCUUCAUUCAAUCUGCUGAAAAUGCCAAUGAGCCACCUCCCUCAGUCUUCCAUCUUUGAGAUAUUAAGUGCUCCCAGUCCUGGGAAGGUUCUUCAGAAAAGGCCAGGUGUGCUCAACACACAUGAUGAUACUCAGAAUACCUUGCUUGCCUUACUGCUGCACCCUUUUCAAGAUUUCCAGAAGUGUGGCAGCCAGAAUCUCAGUGGACAAUCUCCGUGACCACUUCCUGCAUGUCAAGACAUCCUGCAUGACUGUAGAACCUGCAUGCUGUGCUGCACAUGUUUCUGAAUCCAGACCUGGCAUUUGACACCUAUGCCCUGCUUUUCCAGCUUCUGCUAUGGUCACCUGAAUAGUGUUUCUUGGCAGGCUCCUCUCACCCAGCUUCUGAAAAAUAGAGCCAAAACUGAGAUGCUAA